UCGUAGUCGGAUUCGGGGCGGGUCGACCGGUCUGCCGAUGGGUACGCACUGGUCGACGCGUCCUUCCUUCCGGAGACCGUCUCACUCUUAACUGAGCGGAGGCGGGAGACGGAACGUUUACUUUGAAAAAAUCAGAGUGUUUCAAGCAGGCAGCUCGCUCUUGCAUGGAUUAGCAUGGGAUAAUGAAAUAGGACUUUGGUGCUAUUUUGUUGGUUUCGAACACCGAAGUAAUGAUGAGAAGGGACAGUCAGGGGCACUCGUAUUCCGCCGAGAGAGGUGAAAUUCUUAGACCAGCGGAAGACGAACCACUGCGAAAGCAUUUGCCAGGGAUGUUUUCACUGAUCAAGAACGAAAGUUAGGGGAUCGAAGACGAUCAGAUACCGUCGUAGUCUUAACCAUAAACCAUGCCGACUAGGGAUUGGAGGAUGUUCACUUUUGACUCCUUCAGCACCUUACGGGAAACUAAAGUCUUUGGGUUCCGGGGGGAGUAUGGUCGCAAGGCUGAAACUUAAAGGAAUUGACGGAAGGGCACCACCAGGUGUGGAGCCUGCGGCUUAAUUUGACUCAACACGGGGAAACUUACCAGGUCCAGACAUUGUGAGGAUUGACAGAUUGAGAGCUCUUUCUUGAUUCGAUGGGUGGUGGUGCAUGGCCGUUCUUAGUUGGUGGAGUGAUUUGUCUGGUUAAUUCCGUUAACGAACGAGACCUUAGCCUGCUAAAUAGUGACGCGAACACUCCGUUCGCGGUCCACUUCUUAG
rnacentral:rRNA from 1 species